GGGAAUGUGGCUUAGUGGUAGAGUGUUUGCCUAACAUGCAUGAAGCCCUAGGUUCAAUUCCUCAAAACCA
rnacentral:tRNA from 1 species